AAGAUUUUAAUGAUCGAACAGAUCAAAAUUUUAAACUUUUGCAUUUAAAUUUUAUCUUAAUCCAACAUCGAGGUCGCAAACUUUUUUUUUUAUUUGAACUAAAAAAAAAAAUUACG
rnacentral:rRNA from 2 species